AGAGUUUGAUCCUGGCUCAGAACGAACGCUGGCGGCGUGCUUAACACAUGCAAGUCGAACGCGAAAGUUUUCUUCGGAAAACGAGUAGAGUGGCGCACGGGUGAGUAACGCGUAAGUAAUCUACCCUGGCAUCUGGGAUAACCCACCGAAAGGUGUGCUAAUUCCGGAUACGUUGAUUUAUCAAGAAAGGUGGCCUUUGAUUUAAGCURCCGUGCCGGGAGGAGCUUGCGUWCCAUUAGCUAGUUGGUGGGGUAAUGGCCUACCAAGGCAACGAUGGUUAGCGGGUCUGAGAGGAUGAUCCSCCMCACUGGAACUGGAACMCGGACCAGACUCCUACGGGAGGCAGCAGUGAGGAAUAUUGCGCAAUGGGGGAAACCCUGACGCAGCGACGCCGCGUGGAUGAUGAAGGCCUUAGGGUCGUAAAAUCCUGUCAGAAGGGAAGAAAUGGUUUGUAGUUAAUAUCUGCMAUCCUUGACGGUACCUUCAAAGGAAGCACCGGCUAACUCCGUGCCAGCAGCCGCGGUAAUACGGAGGGUGCMAGCGUUGUUCGAAAUUACUGGGCGUAAAGCGCGCGUAGGCGGCUAUUUAAGUCAGAUGUGAAAGCCCAUGGCUCAACCAUGGACGUGCAUUUGAUACUGGAUAGCUUGAGUAUUGGAGGGGGUGGUGGAAUUCCCGGUGUAGAGGUGAAAUUCGUAGAUAUCGGGAGGAAUACCGGUGGCGAAGGCGACCYCCUGSCCAAAUACUGACGCUGAGGUGCGAAAGCGUGGGGAGCAAACAGGAUUAGAUMCCCYGGUAGUCCMCGCCGUAAACGAUGUCAA
rnacentral:rRNA from 1 species